UAUGUGAUCGUCUCUCGCAUAUCAAUAAGCGGAGGAAAAGAAACUAACAAGGAUUCCCCUAGUAACGGCGAGUGAAGCGGGAAGAGCUCAAAUUUGAAAUCUUAAAGGGUUUCCCUUUACGAAUUGUAGUUUAAAGAAGUGUUUUCUGUUGAGGUUUUGGUAAAAGUUCUUUGGAAUAGGACAUCAUAGAGGGUGAGAAUCCCGUAUUUGACCUUUACUUUCAACUUUGUGAUACGCUUUCAAAGAGUCGGAUUGUUUGGGAAUGCAGUCCAAAAUGGGUGGUAAAUUUCAUCUAAAGCUAAAUAUUGGCGAGAGACCGAUAGCGAACAAGUACCGUGAGGGAAAGAUGAAAAGAACUUUGAAAAGAGAGUUAAACAGUACGUGAAAUUGUCAAAAGGGAAGCGUUUGACACCAGUGUUGUUUUUCUGAAAAUCAAUUAAAGAACUGUUUAUGCUAAGCUGUUUAGACUUUAUCAGCUAUCUGUUUAGUUUUGAGCUUUUCUUUAAUGCACUUUUCAGUUAACAAGUCAACAUCAAUUUCUUUUGCUGUAAAAAAGCUUGAGGAAGGUGGCUUGAGAUUCGUCUUAAGUGUUUAUAGCCUCUUGCCUAUGCAGUCGGAGAGAUUGAGGUCUGCAGCGUAGAUCCUUCGGGGCUAAAUGCAUUUGUGCUAAGUUAUAGCAUUUUAUAGACAACUUGUUGACUAUGAUUUGUCUUGUAGCUUACUCGCUUAUGUUAUUUUACCUACGCUUAGGAUGUUGACUGAUAUGUAGUCGUA
rnacentral:rRNA from 1 species